GGUUCGAUGGUGUAGUUGGUUAUCACGUUUGCCUAACAUUCAUGUGCGCAAAAGGUCUCCGGUUCAAACCCGGGUCGAAUCA